AUAAGAUGUGGUCUUGUGGGCACAGACAUGCCUGUUUAACUGUUAUUUCAUAUGAAGAAGUUCUUCAAGAAGUUUUUCAAGAUCUAGGAGGGGGUGAAGGCUUGAAUUAUAAGGGACCCAGUAUAUCAAAACAUUUAUUCAUUUCGAAGACUGUGUAUGCUCAGCUACCUGAGAGGACAUUAUGUCGUUCUGGGCUGCUUCCUCUUAGGGAGUCAUCGUUUCUUCUGGCAAGUUUUACCCUCCUUAGCAAUUAUAGUUUGUGAUAUGCGCCUCUGGUUUAAUUUCAAGUUGAUAGCAGGGUAACUGCCUUCAUGAAAUAUGCCUUGUGAUCCCUCUCUGGAAAUGAGAGGGCCUCAACACCAGACCAUGUGGACCGCAAAUGAGAUUGCUCAACUGUGCUACGAGCACUAUGGCAUCAGGCUGCCUAAGCAGGGGAAACCUGAGCCAAACCGUGAGUGGACAUUAUUGGCAGCCGUGGUAAAGAUACAAUCUCCAGUUGUCCAGGCCUGCAACACUCCUGAUAAGCCAGUGCAAGUGACAAAGGAAGUUGUCUCAAUGGGAACAGGAACGAAAUGCAUAGGCCAGUCCAAAAUGAGGAAGAGCGGAGACAUCCUCAAUGAUAGCCAUGCUGAGGUCAUAGCCAGGAGGAGUUUCCAAAGGUACCUUCUCCAUCAGCUCCAGUUGGCAGCCACCCUGAAAGAGGACAGUAUCUUUGUCCCAGGAACACAAAGAGGGCUGUGGAAACUCAAAUCAGACCUCUUCUUUGUGUUUUUCUCCAGCCAUACACCCUGUGGGGAUGCCUCCAUCAUUCCAAUGCUUGAGUUUGAAGAUCAGCCUUGCUGUCCUGUCAGCAGAGAUUGGGCCAACAACCCAUCAGUAGAAGCCAGUAGUAACUUGGAAGCUCCUGAAAAUAAAAAGAAAUGUGAAGACCUUGACAGUCCUGUAACCAAAAAGAUGAGGCUUGAGCUUGGAACUCCUGCCAGGGAGGUUGCCAACGGUGCGGCUGACCAUCAGAGUUUUGGCAAACAGGAAAGUGGCCGAAUCCCACCGGAUGUCAGCAGUUCAAACCUCACUGUAGAGGGACUGGCCUCUGUCACCAGAAUAGCCCUCGGUGGUGCCAAAGUGGUGGACGUUCAUAGAACCGGAGCCAAGUGUGUGCCUGGAGAAGCUGGAGACUCAGGGCAGCCCGGUGCUGCAUAUCACCAGGUGGGGCUACUCCGAGUAAAGCCAGGCCGGGGAGAUAGGACUCGCUCCAUGUCCUGCAGUGACAAGGUGGCCCGAUGGAAUGUCCUUGGAUGCCAAGGGGCACUGUUGACACACUUCCUGGAAGAGCCCAUCUACCUGACAGCUGUAGUCAUUGGGAAGUGCCCAUACAGCCAGGAGGCCAUGCAGAGAGCACUGAUUGAGAGGUGUCAGAAUGUAUCGGCUUUACCCAAGGGCUUUGGAGUUCAAGAACUGAAAAUACAGCAGUCUGAUUUACUGUUUGAACACAGCCGCUGUGCAGUACAGGCAAAAAGGGCUGACAGCUCAGGCCGACUCGUUCCUUGUGGGGCAGCCAUCAGCUGGAGUGCAGUUCCUGAGCAGCCAUUGGAUGUUACUGCCAAUGGCUUUCCACAGGGAACAACAAAGAAAGGAAUUGGAAGCCUUCAGGCAAGAUCCCGAAUCAGCAAAGUGGAGCUCUUUAGAUCAUUCCAGAAGCUUCUGAGCAGUAUUGCAGAGGACCGGUGGCCAGACUCCCUCAGCAGGAAAGAAAGAAAGACAAAAACACCACUACCUGAAAUCCAGGCUCUCCAAUAUUCUGCUUUAAUCCAAGUUUCUCUUGCCUGACCCGAAAUCUCACAUUAUGACAGCAAUUAGGAUACCUGGACUGGCAGGGGCUUUUAUCUACAGAGUCAUUUCUGCCUCAGAAGCAUGGGAUAAAUGCCUUGUGUUAUGGAGUUCAUCCUCGCCAAGCAUGAGCUCACUGUCUGGGAGACGGAGCUGCCGUGGAGAAAAUGACCCAGCCUGGCUGCCAGGGCCUCCACUGGGAAGCAGCGCAGGCCGUCUGAUUGGGUGGCGUCUGUGGCUGGUGGAAAGACGCCUCCACUCCGUACCUUAGCAACAUUUUUUUUUUUUUUUUUUUUUUUGUGGCUUUAAGACAAUGUUCUGAGCAAGGCUUAGCCAAAAUUUUCCAACUUCCAAAAUCCAGACUCCUUCCUGGUUAGUGAAAUGGCUUAGGACAGUGUUAUCUUUACAGCUGCCACUGCCAUCCCACCAUGGCAUCUGGGAAAGCCAGAGGAGCUGUUAGAAUGAGUCCCCUGCAACAGAAAGGUUAUUGAAACUAGGAAACAGCUUCCAGCUAGAAAGAUAAUAUGUAUAUGCUUACUUUCAAGGGCUUAAGCAAUUCUUUCCAUAGGCAGCUAUCCUGAAGGAAUGAUUGGAUGCCAAAAGAGCCAAGGAGGCAGAUAUUUUAGAGAAAGCACCUUUAUUUUCCAAAAAGAAGAGUUAUUUUUAUACCCCAUAUUAGGGAAUCAUACUGGCCUUCACAUCCUAUGAACGUGGAUCCCUUUACACCUAAAUGUGUCUAUACUGCGGCUGAGACUUCCUAUAAGGCUGUUUAGAUGGAUCCAAAGCAAAUCUUUUUUUUUUUAAUAGAAAGAACACUUAUAGCACAAAGCAAAUCAUAAAUGUGUAGUGCCUGUGGUCCAAAAGUAGGAGGGAAACUCUGCAAAGAGACACUUCAGGGCUGCAGGCAAAGUCAUGUGAAUUCAAUUUUUAUUUCUUAAAACUGGGGCCCCCAAAAAUGAGUCAAAGGAGAUAGAAAUCAGAGCAGUGACUGUUGCCUGGUGUGGGGGGCAUGGGGGAGCAGGGGAUUGAGUGGAAAGAAGCAUAAGAGGAUUCUCUGAUGAUGGAAACAUUCUAUGUUUUGAUUGGUGUGUUGAUUACAUGGGUGCAAACAUUUGUCAAAAUUUAUUAAGGUCUACACUUAAGAUCUGCACACUUUAUGUAUACUUCGAUUUAAAAAUGUAAAACAAAACUGUCCUUAUUAAUUACUUGGUAUGGUAGAAUAAACUUGGGUCUGGAUAUUCAAGUACUUGCCUUCUAGUACCAACUCUGCCACUAACUUCCUGUGUGUGUUGGGGGGGAGGUUUUUAAUCUCUGACUUACAGCUUUGCAUCUGUUCUACAAAAUGAGGUCCCCAUAAUUAGGAUGCUCAAGUUUUUUAACCGUAAGGUAGGAUUUCUCAAAAAUUCUUACUUGGGUAGAUAAUGCAAAGAGAAAUUUUCUCCAGGAAACUAUGCCCAUUGAUGCUGUGAGUACAUAUGGCCUCGGUCAUGUUGGUGACAAGGGAGGGAUGGAAAUAAUUUUUGUCUUAAUCUAGUAACCUGGGCUCUGAAUUUAGGUGUGGAUUGUUUUGCCGCUUAUCAUGCGAGCCAGCAGAGCUAGGAAUCAGCUUUUAGAGCUAAGCCUGUUGGGCACUGCCUUUCCAUGUCCAGAUGCAGGAAGGAGUCUCUCUAUGGGAGGAGAGGCAGAGGUGGAAAGUCACUCCAAGUGGGGACCCAGUCUGCCAAAUGUUGGUCUUGAGCACAUGUCCCCUGAACUUGGGCUCAGCUCCCGAAGGGGAACAGCUCACAAUGGAAACACUGACGGCCAUUUGCUCAGGCAGCCAAGAGAAUAAAAAGCACAUUGAAACCCAGCAGUGUCUCCAUGGGAGAGGUACAGUGGGCUCCUUGGUGGUGAAACCAACCUGACAACAGAGCAGGAUCACAGAACUCAUUCCCAGCAUCUUUCUUCAGUUAGACAACAAGACCUUUAUGUGCAGCCUCUCAGGAAAUCUCUGGGAAAUGACACUGUGGACAGUCCACCUUUUACCCAACAGGAGAGGCACACUCAACCUAGUUCGCCCUGUUUGCUUUGAAUUAAAUUUUGUUAAUUGAUUUGUCUCUGUUAGAAUUUGGUGAAAAGGACAAAAAAAUAUAAAAACUAAAAAAUGUCUCA